GUGGCCUACGGGGCGCGGCAGUCGGGAAUAUUGCGCAAUGGAGGAAACUCUGACGCAGUGACGCCGCGUAUAGGAAGAAGGUUUUCGGAUUGUAAACUAUUGUCGUUAGGGAAGAUAAAAGACUGUACCUAAGGAGGAAGCCCCGGCUAACUAUGUGCCAGCAGCCGCGGUAAUACAUAGGGGGCAAGCGUUAUCCGGAUUUAUUGGGUGUAAAGGGCGUGUAGGCGGGAUUGCAAGUCAGAUGUGAAAACCACGGGCUCAACCUGUGGCCUGCAUUUGAAACUGUAGUUCUUGAGUGCUGGAGG
rnacentral:rRNA from 1 species